UCUCCGUUGGUGAACCAGCGGAGGGAUCAUUACAGGACUCGCAAGUCUCCUACAACCCUGUGAACUUAACUAUAAGCACGUUGCUUCGGCGGGUGUCUCAGAGGGGGUUCUCCCUCCCCGAGACGCUAAACCCGCCGGCAGCCUACUAUACUCUGUCUCUUUGCGUUGGCAUCUCGAGUACAAUCAAACAAGUUAAAACUUUCAACAACGGAUCUCUUGAUUCUGGCAUCGAUGAGAACGCAGC
rnacentral:misc_RNA from 1 species